UUCUUAUUGGAUGGUGAUUGUCAUAUGUCAUGUUUAGAUUGAUAAAUGAAAAUAACAAUGUAUUUCAUCUUUCAUUGACAUCCAAUCAAAGCAUAAUACAUAUCCAAUAACAAAG
rfam:Glycine soja cultivar W05 scaffold1357_73, whole genome shotgun sequence.